AGUGAACGCUGGCGGUAGGCCUAACACAUGCAAGUCGAACGGCAGCACAGUAAGAGCUUGCUCUUACGGGUGACGAGUGGCGGACGGGUGAGGAAUACAUCGGAAUCUACUUUUUCGUGGGGGAUAACGUAGGGAAACUUACGCUAAUACCGCAUACGACCUACGGGUGAAAGCAGGGGAUCUUCGGACCUUGCGCGAAUGAAUGAGCCGAUGUCGGAUUAGCUAGUUGGCGGGGUAAAGGCCCACCAAGGCGACGAUCCGUAGCUGGUCUGAGAGGAUGAUCAGCCACACUGGAACUGAGACACGGUCCAGACUCCUACGGGAGGCAGCAGUGGGGAAUAUUGGACAAUGGGCGCAAGCCUGAUCCAGCCAUACCGCGUGGGUGAAGAAGGCCUUCGGGUUGUAAAGUCCUUUUGUUGGGAAAGAAAAGCAGCAGGUUAAUACCCCGCUGUUCUGACGGUACCCAAAGAAUAAGCACCGGCUAACUUCGUG
rnacentral:rRNA from 1 species